rnacentral:lncRNA from 1 species
AUGAAUCCGCAUUCAUUUUUCCAAAAUUCAAAUCACAUUUGAAUAUAAGGCCGGUCAAAGUUUGACUUUUCAAAGUCAAAAGUCAACAUUUUGACUUUUUACUAUUUUUGACCAAUUCCGAGCUUCUUAGUAUGAAUCCGCAUUCAUACUUAUAGUAUGUAAAACAUAAAGCUCUAUUUCUAAUUAGAAGACCGACGAUUAUAUCACUGUAUAUGUCGGUUUUCCUUUCUUCUCCCCAUUCGAACAAUUCGACUUAUUUCAUCACACUGUUCUAAGUUUAAUCCAUAUGAGCUAGCAGAGGAACCUAAUGGACCUAUAGAUCAUGGGCUCCAACGAUUCAAGAUUAACUAGCUAAACUCUUUUAAACCGAGUUAAUCAACAUUCGUUAACUAACGGGUCAUUCCACUAAAGUCCCGUAGUUGCACUCCCCUCACUAUAGAUAUAUUUGUGUCCAUUUGAUAAAACCAUAAUCAGUAAGUUAAUCCUUCACAGGUUGCUCGUAACCUUGGCUGGGUCAAAAUACCGUUUUACCCCCAAGAUUACAUCUUGCUCCUUAAGUCCCACUAAUCCACUAUUGAACAAUUGGUUUAAGGUUUAACCUAUAAACUUAAUCCCUCUAGGGCCAAUGAGAGGGUGGGGCCCCUUGUUCAAGACUUGGAUUCAGUGCUUAAGAGAGCAACCUAUCUACUAACCCUAAAGCGGGUAGGAGUGAAUUCCAUCUUGUACCCUAUGUUCCCAGCUAUCCACCCGAUCUUACCCCUGAAAUGGGAGGCUUAUUGGGCCAACGCUGAUGAGCUGCCCUCACCUAUGCAGAUCUAAGGAUAAUCUCGUAUGAACAGGAGUUUAUAGUUAACUCAGGAUUAAGACUAAGUUACCUAGGUCAUCAAUAAUUGAGAUAGUCAGUUUUAAACAGUAAACGGUGUUAUAACGUAAAAAUGACUAAUUCAUGGUUCAGUAUUAUGUAAACAUUUUACAUAGGAUGCCCCCACUUUCAUGUCUCUACAUGAACGAUUAGGAUCACAUCGUUUGUACUACAAAGUGGGCCGCAUCCAUAGUCUCUCAAAAUAAGGCGCCCAACCUUUAUUUCAUAUACUAUAGACUAUUUAGGCUAUAUACUCGAACUUGAUCCACGUUUAUGUUUACACAUAAAGUUCAAGUUUAUUCAAAAAAUAGCCUUGGAACUUUGAUUUAUUGGAUUUAAGAUUAUAAUAUUUAAUUUCUCAAUAACAACUUUAUUGAAUAGAAUAUGAUUUACAAACUACGAGUUUUAGGACAAAAAAUUCCAACAGUAACAUGUGUCCUAUUAUCUUAAUUUCUUUUGUUAUUGUUGCAAAUGUCUGGUUGUUUGAGUUGGGACAUAGUAGUUUCGCAUUUGUGUAAUGCAAUUGCAAUACGUCACUAAGUAGGUUCAUUGCGCGUAAUGUGAUCACCAUAUCUUUCUGUAUUGCAUGCUUAAUUUUAGGCGAUAAGUCACAAUUCUUGAUCAUAGCAUGCAAAAUGCUCACUAUGUACCUCUUCAUCGCGUAAUACAUAAAUCCUCAUUCAAUAUAAGUUUUCUUACUGCUUGCCCAGGUGCAAUUGAAAAUAGUAGGUUUACCUUGGUGAUUCAGAAUCGAACACAGGAAAUUGCUUCAAGACAUUAGUUCUAGGAAAUUACUCAUCAAUUUAGGCAAUAUGAAAGAAUUAAAAAAUAACAAAUAUAAAAAAUGUUAAAUUAAGCUUAAUAACUAAACACGCAACGAGAGUUUGUAAAAAUGGGACAAGAAAAUGGUAUGGUAAUGCAAACUAGCUUGUAUGAUAGAAAUGAAAGAAGGAAUAUCUACGUAUUAUCAUGUGAAUAAGUAAUGAAAUAACCUUGAUGCGAUGUAACUCACUAACCAUACUUUUAUUUAAGGUUUGCUUCUCUCAAACUCGUUAUAUGCCACACAUGGUCGCUCUUGGAGAUCCAUAUGACAAAGUAUAAAUUGACGAGUUAUAUCUAGAAAGGACUACUUAUAAAUCGUAUAGGAUUCAACAAUUAAGGACUGCAACCUGUCGGUGCCCAUUGUCCACACUUUUUCUCCUUUCGUGAUACAAAUGUUGAAAACGAUCUUGCAAGGAAGGGCGAGGCUCUUCCCUACGUGCAUUAGUUAGGUCCUAGCUACUUUCUCUUUCAGGUAGUUGGAGACUUACACUGGCCAGACGAUGAGAAUAGCUGGACUAACGUAAUAGGACUUCUAAGCAACACUUCUUAUCAAGAACUCACUACUACGAAACUAGCAAUACUUGACGCAAUGUAGCGGGCAAGCGACAUUUUGGCAACCCACAUCAAGUAACGUUUGGGCAACCUACUAUCGACAACCUCACAUUAUUUCAAAUGACCCACUCCUUCUCAUCGACGGUGACCCAUGGCUGACGACAACUCGAAGAGAAAGGUACCUAGUAUUCUUUUCUCUUUGUCGAUUAUCUUUAAUUAAAUUGUUCUAUCUUGUUCCCUUCCAUUUUGAGGUUUUCAGUUUAUACUACGCUAAUGUUUUGGUUGGAACGUCGUCGUUAGAUUUCUUUAUGGCAUUGGACAUCGGAAGCGAUUUGUUUUGGUUACCAUGUGAAUGUUCCAGUUGUUUUACUCAUUUAAACACAUCAAAUGAAGGAAAGGUAUUUAAACCAACUAUAUGCAAAUCUUGAAGUUGAUGUUCUCUUUGAUGAAAUCAACUGGUUAAUUCUUGUUUUGUUUAUCUUUCUACAAUAUGUUUUUUUUUUUUUUUUUGUCAAUUUCCUCUUUAUCUUUUUGUUAUUUUCUUAGUCUAAUUAUUGAAUAAAAGAAUAAGGAAGAAAGAGAAAGCACAAAAGUUGGGGCUUUGCUCUGCUUUACGUUCCCUUCCAAGCUAAAGAACAUAGAAAAAAUGGGUUUCAUUUGGAGGCUUUAAUCGUUUCCCUUUUCUCUUGAGUGUUGCUUAUCGAUCAGUAAGAGAUUUAGUGUUAAAAUUACAUGUUUCUUAGCAUUAUUGAGGCUUGUUUCUUUAGUCUUUUUGGACCGUGGUUUGUGCUUUUCUUCAUGGUUUCUCUUAUUAGUUAUUAGAAUCAAGUUUUGCAUUUUCUCUUUUGAAUGAUCGUAUGAAUUCUUAGACCAUGAGAAUCUAUUGCGGCUUCACUAAUUGUCAGUUUUUUUUUUUUUUUUGUCAACUUAAUUAAGAAAUGAUUCCCAGUCAAUAUGCAGUUACAUCGUUGAAGAGGUUAUUUUCUGCUCAUUUUGAUAGAACUAAGACAUGCACAGCGGAAAAAGAAUCGAAUUUCUACCAUAAUUGCCAUAAUUAACAUGUAACCCUAAAACAAUCAAAUUAGGGUUUUAGAAAAUAUUACCUUUCAAGCUUUCAAAAAACUUCGAUACCUCCUUAGCAAUUCAAACCGAGACUACCACUAGCACUCAACUACUAUCCUAUGGACAAAGAACCGGGUUGUGGGACCCAAUAUGGUGUAGAAAGUAAUGGAGAUAAAAGGGGAUUGGAAGGUAGAAGUUUUUUUUUCCUUGGUUGAGAUAUUGGAGAAUGAUAAAAAAUGCAAGUUUUCAACCAUUUGAAAACACCCCUAUUUAUAACCUAAUUACAUGCAAAAAUGCAUGUAAUUAGUUUGCCAAAUCUCAACACCUAAUGUUCCACUAACAAUUAGUGGAACUUAGUGGGCUAGGUGUCUACAUCUCAUAUAGCCACAUACCCACUAAGAGUUAGUGGGAUUAUCCAACAAAAUGUCGGAUUUUUCCACUAACUUAGUCCAAGGGUAAAAUGGUCAUUAGAUAUUUCAAGUCAAAAGUCAAACUUUGACUUUUCUGACCAUUUUGUCAAACUUGACUAAUUCCAUCCUUCCGAGCAUGAAUCCGCAUUCAUUUUUUUAAAAUUCAAAUCAUAUUUGAAUAUAAGACCGGUCAAAGUUUGACUUUUCAAAGUCAAAAGUCAACAUUUUGACUUUUUACAAAU